CUGGUCUUGACAUGUCGAGAAUCCCGAAGAGAUUUGGGAGUGCCGCAAGGAACUCGAACACAGGUGCUGCAUGGCUGUCGUCAGCUCGUGUCGUGAGAUGUUGGGUUAAGUCCCGCAACGAGCGCAACCCUUGUCCUUAGUUGCCAUCAUUUAGUUGGGAACUCUAAGGAGACCGCCGGUGACAAACCGGAGGAAGGUGGGGAUGACGUCAAGUCAUCAUGGCCUUUAUGGCCAGGGCUACACACGUGCUACAAUGGCAGGUACAGAGGGAAGCCAACUCGCGAGAGGGAGCCAAUCCCAGAAAGCCUGUCGUAGUCCGGAUCGGAGUCUGCAACUCGACUCUGUGAAGUCGGAAUCGCUAGUAAUCGCAGAUCAGCAUUGCUGCGGUGAAUACGUUCCC
rnacentral:rRNA from 1 species